GACGAACGCUGGCGGCGUGCCUAAUACAUGCAAGUAGGACGCAGUUGCGAACGGGUGAGUAACGCGUAGGUAACUACCUCCUAGAGGGGGAUAACUAUUGUAAACGAUAGCUAAUACCGCAUACUCGUAGAUGGACCUGCGUUGUAUUAGGUAGUAGGUUGGUUAAUGGCCUACCUAGGCAACGAUACAUAGCCGAACCGGGAGGGGGAUCGGGCACAAUGGGACUGAGAAACGGCCCAGACUCCUACGGGGGGCAGCAGUAGGGAAACUUCGGCAAUGGGGGGAACGCUGGCCGGGCAAAGCCGCGUGAGGGAAGAAGGUUUUCGGAUCGUAAAGCUCUGUUGUUAAGGAAGCGGUACUUAACCAGAAAGGGACGGCUAACUACGUGCCAGCAGCCGCGGUAAUAC
rnacentral:rRNA from 1 species